UAGUCCACGCCGUAAACGAUGAGUGCUAGCUGUUGGAACCUUAGGUUUCAGUGGCGACGCUAACGCAUUAAGCACUCCGCCUGGGGAGUACGGUCGCAAGAUUAAAACUCAAAGGAAUUGACGGGGACCCGCACAAGCGGUGGAGCAUGUGGUUUAAUUCGAGGCAACGCGAAGAACCUUACCAGACCUUGACAUGCCUCUUUUGGAUUUCAGAGAUGAUUUCCUUCGGUUCGGCCGGGGAGUGCACAGGUGCUGCAUGGCUGUCGUCAGCUCGUGUCGUGAGAUGUUGGGUUAAGUCCCGCAACGAGCGCAACCCUUAUUUUGGUUGCCUUUUGGAACUCUAAAAAGACUGCCGGUUAUAAACCGGAGGAAGGCGGGGAUGACGUCAAGUCAGUAUGCCCCUUACACCCUGGGCUACACACGUGCUACAAUGGGCGAGACAAUGAGCUGCAAGUCUGUGAAGGUUAGCUAAUCUAUAAACUCGUUCUAAGUUCGGAUUGUAGGCUGCAACUCG
rnacentral:rRNA from 1 species